UCCCGUGUGGUCUAGUGGUUAGGAUUCGUGGUAUUCACCCAUGCGGCCCGGGUUCGAUUCCCGGCACGGGAG
rnacentral:tRNA from 1 species